CUAUCUUUUUAACGCAAGUCUUUAGAAGUCUGUAUCUCUAAGAAGCUUUGGGAAUCUAUAAACAGGAUGUACACGUUCACGAGCCCUUAAAUACACAUAUUGCUCAUUUAUUUGUACAUGUCUGAUGGAGAACCGAGUGUGUAUAUUUUUUUCAUCUUCAUUGCUUAAUCUGACUGCAUGAUAAAUUGAGGAAAUCAUAAUUACAUGUGUCU